AUACGUAUGAGUAUACACUCUUCUUUCACGCGAUGAGGAAGUAGUUGCUUUAUUCGGAGUCAAACACCGAACUUGCAGUCUUAAAGCAACUUCCCUGAUAAUCAAGAAAACCUCCUAAUAUCCCAAAAUAAACCCUGGUUCUCAGGUUUUACAGGCAUCAAUGAACCCUUUUACUUUACUAAAUAUAUCCUAGCCCAGGGGGUUGUGUAGGUGAACUGCGGGGCCCAAGUCAAUUUAAAUUUCUCCAUUGACACUUCAAUGAGCAUCACGGAACUUCUAAAUAAUAUACAACAAUAAAGACUUCUAAUAAUCUAGAAGACACCCCCAUCCACGAGUUUUGUUUAUGAGAUACUGGUUUCUGAAGCAGGUUAAAUUAUUCCACUGCUCCUUCCCUGAUCAUCAAGGAACCCUUCUAAUAUGGAAAAUACACUAAGUUUUUCAGGCUGUACAGGUAAAAACUACGCCAUUUAUAAAAAUGGAAUGAUACACGCUUCAACAACACAUUAAAAUGAUUAAAAUUCACUAUAAAAGUGGGGGAAACCCGGGAGAGACGGUUCGUAAAACUAAAACAUUUUUGGAUCGUCGUUAACCCCUUGUCAGACCACAAUACAGAAAUUGGGGGAAAAAUUUGGCCUGUUGUGACAGGUUAGUGAUUUGAAGAAUAAAAUUAGUUCACGUCGCUGAAGAACAACUGGGAACAUUAUAGCUGUAGCUCAAAGUGUUGAUGAAAACCCAGGUUUUGACGUUUUGAAAGUUCAAAGUAAUAAAAAAACGUACUAAAUGCAUGAUCGACCAUAACUUUGGAACACAUUGGGGUACAUAACUCAAUAAUUCGUGGAAGAAUGCAAAUAUACUCCACACUGAAAAGUGAAAAGUUGGUCUCGUUUACUAUUGUAUUGAUGACCCUCAUAUGAUAUAUAAUAUUCACUAUA
rnacentral:lncRNA from 1 species